rnacentral:tRNA from 1 species
GGUGUGGGAGCAGGCAGGAGUGACCAUCGGUUUCCUAAACCGAAGGUCGGAGGUUCGACUCCUCUCGGGACCACCA